rnacentral:rRNA from 1 species
ACUACGGGGGUCAGCAGUGAGGAAUAUUGGUCAAUGGGCGGAAGCCUGAACCAGCCAAGUAGCGUGCAGGAUGACGGCCCUACGGGUUGUAAACUGCUUUUAUACGGGAAUAACGCGCCUUACGUGUAGGGCUUUGCAUGUACCGUAUGAAUAAGGAACGGCUAAUUCCGUGCCAGCAGCCGCGGUAAUACGGAAGGUCCGGGCGUUAUCCGGAUUUAUUGGGUUUAAAGGGAGCGUAGGCCGCAUGUCAAGCGUGCUGUGAAAUGUCCGGGCUCAACCCGGGCCUUGCAGCGCGAACUGGCGUGCUUGAGUCCGCGGAAGGCAGGCGGAAUUCGUCGUGUAGCGGUGAAAUGCUUAGAUAUGACGAAGAACCCCGAUUGCGAAGGCAGCUUGCUGCAGCGGAACUGACGCUGAUGCUCGAAAGCGCGGGUAUCGAACAGGAUUAGAUACCCUAGUAGUC